UACGUAGGGCGCAAGCGUUGUCCGGAAUUAUUGGGCGUAAAGAGCUCGUAGGCGGUUUGUCGCGUCUGUCGUGAAAGCUUGGGGCUUAACCCCAAGUCUGCGGUCGAUACGGGCAUCACUAGAGUUCGGCAGGGGAGACUGGAAUUCCUGGUGUAGCGGUGAAAUGCGCAGAUAUCAGGAGGAACACCGGUGGCGAAGGCGGGUCUCUGGGCCGAUACUGACGCUGAGGAGCGAAAGCAUGGGUAGCGAACAGG
rnacentral:rRNA from 1 species